UAUUCCCCACUGCUGCCUCCCGUAGGAGUCUGGGCCGUAUCUCAGUCCCAAUGUGGCCGUUCAACCUCUCAGUCCGGCUACUGAUCGCAGUCUUGGUAGGCCGUUACCCUACCAACUAACUAAUCAGAUAUGAGCCCAUCUUUCAGCGGAUUGCUCCUUUGGUACUUCGGAGAUGCCCCCAACGUACAUUAUGCGGUAUUAGCAGUCGUUUCCAACUGUUGUCCCCCUCUGAAAGGCAGGUUAUCCACACGUUACUCACCCGUCCGCCACUAAGCUGCCACAAGAUUCUUUUGAUGCAAGCAUCUCCAUCAUCAGCGUGACUGCUCCGUUCGACUUGCAUGUGUUAGGCACGCCGCCAGCGUUCAUCCUGAGCCAA
rnacentral:rRNA from 1 species